rnacentral:rRNA from 1 species
AGAGUUUGAUCCUGGCUCAGGUUGGACGUUGGCGGCGUGGAUUAGGCAUGCAAGUCGAGCGAGAAUCUGUCUGUUGAAGCUUCGGUGGAUUCAGUCAGAGGACAGCGGCAAACGGCGUAGUUAUGCGUAGGUACGUACCCUCAGGUCGGGGAUAGCCACGGGAAACCGUGGGUAAUACCCGAUGACGGCUGAGGACCAAAGGUGUGAUUCCGCCUGAGGAGCGGCUUAUGUGAUAUUAGCUUGAUGGUGGGGUAAUGGCCUACCAUGGCGACGGUGUCCAGGGGGUGUGAGAGCAUGGCCCCCACGACCGGAACUGAGAUACUGUCCGGACACCUACGGGUGGCUGCAGUCGAGAAUCUUCCGCAAUGGGCGAAAGCCUGACGGAGCGACGCCGCGUGCAGGAUGAAGGCCCUUGGGUUGUAAACUGCUGUCAGAGGGGAUGAAAUCAUGGUUGGCAAUCCUUCCAUGUUGACAGAGCCUCAAAGGAAGCACGGGCUAAGUACGUGCCAGCAGCCGCGGUAAU